UUGCACCUGAUGGCGAGUGGCGAACGGGUGAGUAAUGCAUCGGAACGUGCCCAGUCGUGGGGGAUAACGCAGCGAAAGCUGUGCUAAUACCGCAUACGAUCUAUGGAUGAAAGCGGGGGACCUUCGGGCCUCGCGCGAUUGGAGCGGCCGAUGUUAGAUUAGGUAGUUGGUGGGGUAAAGGCUCACCAAGCCGACGAUCUAUAGCUGGUCUGAGAGGACGACCAGCCACACUGGAACUGAGACACGGUCCAGACUCCUACGGGAGGCAGCAGUGGGGAAUUUUGGACAAUGGGCGAAAGCCUGAUCCAGCAAUACCGCGUGCAGGAAGAAGGCCCUCGGGUUGUAAACUGCUUUUGUACGGAACGAAACGGCGCGCUCUAAUAAAGUGCGCUAAUGACGGUACCGUAAGAAUAAGCACCGGCUAACUACGUGCCAGCAGCCGCGGUAAUACGUAGGGUGCAAGCGUUAAUCGGAAUUACUGGGCGUAAAGCGUGCGCAGGCGGUUUUGUAAGACAGGCGUGAAAUCCCCGGGCUUAACCUGGGAAUUGCGCUUGUGACUGCAAGGCUAGAGUACGGUAGAGGGGGGUAGAAUUCCGCGUGUAGCAGUGAAAUGCGUAGAUUGCGGAGGAACACCGAUGGCGAAGGCAGCCCCCUGGACCUGUACUGACGCUCAUGCACGAAAGCGUGGGGAGCAAACAGGAUUAGAUACCCUGGUAGUCCCACGCCCUAAACGAUGUC
rnacentral:rRNA from 1 species